rnacentral:rRNA from 1 species
AGAGUUUGAUUCUGGCUCAGGAUGAACGCUAGCGACAGGCUUAACACAUGCAAGUCGAGGGGCAGCGGGGAAGUAGCAAUACUUCCGCCGGCGACCGGCGCACGGGUGAGUAACACGUAUGGAACCUGCCCGUAGCAGGGGGAUAAGCGGAAGAAAUUCCGUCUAAUAUCGCGUAAUAACUCCGAGAGGCAUCUCCUGGGGUUUAAAGGGUAACACCGGCUACGGAUGGCCAUGCGGCGCAUUAGCUAGUUGGCGGGGUAACGGCCCACCAAGGCGACGAUGCGUAGGGGUUCUGAGAGGAAGGUCCCCCACACUGGUACUGAGACACGGACCAGACUCCUACGGGAGGCAGCAGUGAGGAAUAUUGGUCAAUGGGCGCGAGCCUGAACCAGCCAAGUCGCGUGAGGGAAGACGGUCCUAUGGAUUGUAAACCUCUUUUGUCGGGGAGCAAAAGACGCCACGUGUGGCGUUCCGAGAGUACCCGAAGAAAAAGCAUCGGCUAACUCCGUGCCAGCAGCCGCGGUAAUACGGAGGAUGCGAGCGUUAUCCGGAUUUAUUGGGUUUAAAGGGUGCGCAGGCGGAAGAUCAAGUCAGCGGUAAAAUUGAGAGGCUCAACCUCUUCGAGCCGUUGAAACUGGUUUUCU